rnacentral:lncRNA from 1 species
GGAGACAAUAAUUUGGUAUAAAAGUCAAUUUAUAAAUACAAGUGCUCAGUGUCCUCAAUUUAAUCCUUAAGGACUUAUCUUAAUAAAUAAUAUUUUAACAAUAUUUUAAUAAAUAAAAAGGGGAGUUAUCCCUGUAUGCUAAAAUAUGCUCCUUUUAUUUCAAUUUUAAAAUUUGGAUGCCAAGGAACACUCUGAGUUUAUGGCACCCUACAGCUAGGCAUACUUCUGCCUAGGUGAAAUAGAAAGAUCCACAUAUUGGCAUGAUCCUGUUCAGAUAUUUUAUAUGGGGAAGAGGGAAUCUUUGUGUUUUUUCUACAGGAUGCUACAGGAGUGUGCCAGCUGCCCGAGUGGCUGGUGAGACUUGCUGAUCCUGGGAGCAUGAAGAUUCAGCUCUCCUGGUUCGGGUACCUGGAGUCAUUCCUGUGUCCUUGGAGGAAUAUGGAGGAUUCCCACUCAUCUUUUGUCAUCACAGAAAUUCUGGCGUUGCUGCAGUCAUUGUGUCCCGUCCCACCACGGCCUGCGCUCCGACCCUCUGUGCACUGUUGCUUGGUGGAAGCUGCUGUGGACUGGGGAACUCUGCCCUGGUUUUGCAGAUCUCAGACAUGGUUCCAUUGCCUGCUGGUUGUUCCAGAGAAGAAUGACCGAUCCUGAACUGUCCUGGGAAAGACCUUGGCAUUUUCGCUGCUAUUGUAGCAGCCAUUACUGCUGCAGCCAUUGUGUCUGCAGUGUCUGGAGCUACCCUCCCCCAAUCUAUUGUUAGGCAAGCACAGUGGGUGAACUUUCUGGAGUAGUUGCUAACAAUUGGGAAUUCUAAAUUUUUUUACAGGAGAGGCUUGACUAGGUCCUUGGUGGUAUGGCCAUAGCAGCUGAGGAGAACCAGAUGAGGUGCCCACUACUUAUCGGGAGAGGCUCAAUUUCCACAAUCUCUUAUAU